GAAUAGCAAUAGCUAAUUGCGUCAACAAAUAGUUGAUACAAUAUCGACUAUGUCGAAUAAAAUUCUAGGUAGAAUUAUGAUAAUGACAUUGUCUGCCUAUGUGUCUUGACCAAAUUACGUGCCAGCAGUCGCGGUAAUACGUAGAAGACUAGUGUUAUUCAUCUUUAAUAGGUUUAAAGGGUACCUAGACGGUAAAUCAAGCCUUAAUAGGGACUAAUUUACUAGAGUUACUUGUGAGGGGGUAUUAAAGUACUGCUGGUGUAGAGAUGAAAUUCUGUUAUACCUCUUUUCGUAAGAAAAAUAAUGGCACAGGUAUAGGCGAAAGCAUCCCCUUAUGUGCUAACUGACGUUGAAGGACGAAGGCUUUGUGUCGCGAACAGGAUUAGAUACCCCAGUAGUCAAAGCAGAAAAUGAUGAAUGUCAUAGAUUAGACAUUGCAUAGUUUAUUCUAUAAAUGAAAGUGUAAGCAUUCCACCUCAAGAGUAAUUUGGCAACAUUGGAACUGAAAUCAUUAGACCGUUUCUGAAACCAGUAGUGAAGUAUGUUGUUUAAUUUGAUAGCACGCAAAAAACCUUACCACAAUUUGAAUAGAUAUCUCUUUUUUCUUUUGAGAAAAUAUAUUUACAAGCGUUGCACGGCUGUCUUCAGUUAAUGUCGUGAGAUUUUGGUUAGUUCCAUUAAAUUAACGUAAACCCUUACUUUAUUUUUACAUAAAGUAGUUCCCCACUAGAUUGGAUUAGAUAACAGGGACUAAGACAAGUCAUCAUGGCCUAAAUAUUGUGGGCUAUA
rnacentral:rRNA from 1 species